rnacentral:rRNA from 1 species
GACGAACGCUGGCGGCGUGCUUAACACAUGCAAGUCGAACGGAAAGGCCCUGCUUUUGUGGGGUGCUCGAGUGGCGAACGGGUGAGUAACACGUGAGUAACCUGCCCUUGACUUUGGGAUAACUUCAGGAAACUGGGGCUAAUACCGGAUAGGAGCUCCUGCUGCAUGGUGGGGGUUGGAAAGUUUCGGCGGUUGGGGAUGGACUCGCGGCUUAUCAGCUUGUUGGUGGGGUAGUGGCUUACCAAGGCUUUGACGGGUAGCCGGCCUGAGAGGGUGACCGGCCACAUUGGGACUGAGAUACGGACCAGACUCCUACGGGAGGCAGCAGUGGGGAAUAUUGCACAAUGGGCGGAAGCCUGAUGCAGCAACGCCGCGCGCGGGAUGACGGCCUUCGGGUUGUAAACCGCUUUCGCCUGUGACGAAGCGUGAGUGACGGUAAUGGGUAAAGAAGCACCGGCUAACUACGUG